GAUGAACGCUGGCGGCGUGCCUAAUACAUGCAAGUAGAACGCUGAAGGAGGAGCUUGCUCUUCUGGAUGAGUUGCGAACGGGUGAGUAACGCGUAGGUAACCUGCCUGGUAGCGGGGGAUAACUAUUGGAAACGAUAGCUAAUACCGCAUGACAACAGUUAUUGCAUGAUAACUGUUUAAAAGGGGCAACUGCUCCACUACCAGAUGGACCUGCGUUGUAUUAGCUAGUUGGUGAGGUAACGGCUCACCAAGGCGACGAUACAUAGCCGACCUGAGAGGGUGGACGGUCACGCGGGUACGGAGACACGGCCCAGACUCGUACGGGAGGCAGCAGUGGGGAAUAGUGCACAAUGGGGGUAAGACUGAUGCAGCGACGCCGCGUGAGGGAUGGAGGCCUUAGGGUUGUGACCCUCUUUCGCCAGUGAAGCAGGCCUGCCUCGGUUGUGGGUGGGUUGACGGUAGCUGGAUAAGAAGCGCCGGCUAACUACGUG
rnacentral:rRNA from 1 species